UACGUAGGGACCAAGCGUUGUUCGGAUUUACUGGGCGUAAAGGGCGCGUAGGCGGCAUGGCAAGUCGGGAGUGAAAGCCCGGGGCUCAACCCCGGAGGGUCUCUCGAAACUGCCAAGCUAGAGUGCGGAAGAGGCAACUGGAAUUCCCAGUGUAGCGGUGAAAUGCGUAGAUAUUGGGAAGAACACCGGAGGCGAAGGCGGGUUGCUGGGCCGACACUGACGCUGAGGCGCGAAAGCCAGGGGAGCAAACGGG
rnacentral:rRNA from 1 species